rnacentral:rRNA from 1 species
GACGUAGGGCGCGAGCGUUGUCCGGAUUUAUUGGGCGUAAAGAGCUCGUAGGCGGCUUGUCGCGUCAACUGUGAAAACCCGUGGCUCAACCAUGUGGUCUGCAGUCGAUACGGGCAGGCUAGAAUUCGGUAGGGGAGACUGGAAUUCCUGGUGUAGCGGUGAAAUGCGCAGAUAUCAGGAGGAACACCGGUGGCGAAGGCGGGUCUCUGGACAGUUCCUGACGCUGAGGCGCGAAGGCCAGGGGAGCAAACGGG